UUUAAUUCGAAGCAACGCGAAGAACCUUACCAAAUCUUGACAUCCUUUGAAAACUCUAGAGAUAGAGCCUUCCCCUUCGGGGGACAAAGUGACAGGUGGUGCAUGGUUGUUGUCAGCUCGUGUCGUGAGAUGUUGGGUUAAGUCCCGCAACGAGCGCAACCCUUAAGCUUAGUUGCCAUCAUUAAGUUGGGCACUCUAGGUUGACUGCCGGUGACAAACCGGAGGAAGGUGGGGAUGACGUCAAAUCAUCAUGCCCCUUAUGAUUUGGGCUACACACGUGCUACAAUGGACAAUACAAAGGGCAGCUAAACCGCGAGGUCAUGCAAAUCCCAUAAAGUUGUUCUCAGUUCGGAUUGUAGUCUGCAACUCGACUACAUGAAGCUGGAAUCGCUAGUAAUCGUAGAUCAGCAUGCUA
rnacentral:rRNA from 1 species